AAUUUUAAAGAAAGAAGAGUGAUGAUGAAUAAUGAUUUUGAACUGUAGAGGGGAAGCUACAGUUCAAAAUAGUAAAAAUUUUAUUUAUUGUACCUUUUGUAUCAGGAUUAAUUUAAUUUUUAGUUUAAGAAUUUAUUCUCGAAAAAAAAAGAUUUAAAGAAAUAUGAUACUGAUGUUUAAUUAUUUGGUGAGAUGAUUCUUUAGUUUUGAAAAAAAUCUAGAUUUUUUUUAUCUAGUUACUUUUUGUAUGAUUUAAUCAAUUUUAUUUUAGUAAUUUUUUGUAAAAAUAAGAGAUAUUUUUAGGGAUAAGCUUAAAAAUAAAAAAUUAGCUUAGAAAAUCAAUAAUUUUAUAGGUUUAAAAUUAGCCAAUUUUUUAAUAUUUUAAAAUCAAUUUAAGUUUUUUAAAAAUUUUAUAAUAGCUUUAAGGGGAAGUAAAGUUAUUUUUAAUUUAAUAUGAAAAUUGAAAUAAUAAUGAUUGAAUUAGUAGAACAAAAAAUAUGAUUUAAGAAUUCGGCAAAAUUAAUUUUUGACUGUUUAACAAAAACAUUUCUGGGAGGAAAAUGUUUUUAGUUUAACCUGCUCAAUGCUUUAGUUAAUAGCUGCAGUAUUUUGACUGUACAAAGGUAGCAUAAUCAUUAGCUUUUUUAUUGGAAGCUUGUAUGAAUGGUUGAACAGAAUAUUAACUUUUUUAAUCGUAUUAAAUUUUAAUUUAUAGUUUAUGUAAAAAUGCAUAUUUAAUUAAAAGGGACGAUAAGACCCUAUAGAAUUUAAAAAUAUAAUUGAUUACAAAUAAUUUUUUGUUGGGGUGACAAUAAAUAAACUUUUAUUUAAAUUUUACUGAUGAGUAAAUGAAUGAUCCUAAAUAUUUAGACAAUAAGAUGAAAUUACCUUAGGGAUAACAGCAUAAUUUUUUUUAGAAGUUCUUAUUUAUAGAAAAGAUUAUGACCUCGAUGUUGAAUUAAAAUAAUUAAUUGGUGUAGAAGCUAAUUUUUUUAGUCUGUUCGACUAAAUAUUUUACAUGAUUUGAGUUCAGACCGGCGUGAGCCAGGUUGGUUUCUAUCUUUUUAUGAAAGUGUUGAUUUAGUACGAAAGGACCAGUCAUAUUUAUUUUUAUUAUAAAUUUUGAGUAAAUUUAAUUUAACAAUU
rnacentral:rRNA from 1 species